UCUCCAGACUCCUACGGGAGGCAGCAGUGGGGAAUAUUGCACAAUGGGGGAAACCCUGAUGCAGCGACGCCGCGUGAGUGAAGAAGUAUUUCGGUAUGUAAAGCUCUAUCAGUAGGGAAGAAAAUGACGGUACCUGACUAAGAAGCCCCGGCUAACUACGUGCCAGCAGCCGCGGUAAUACGUAGGGGGCAAGCGUUAUCCGGAUUUACUGGGUGUAAAGGGAGCGUAGACGGCGAAGCAAGUCUGAAGUGAAAACCCAGGGCUCAACCCUGGGACUGCUUUGGAAACUGCCUGACUGGAGUGCUGGAGAGGCAAGCGGAAUUCCUAGUGUAGCGGUGAAAUGCGUAGAUAUUAGGAAGAACACCAGUGGCGAAGGCGGCUUGCUGGACAGUAACUGACGUUGAGGCUCGAAAGCGUGGGGAGCAAACAGGAUUAGAUACCCGAGUA
rnacentral:rRNA from 1 species